rnacentral:tRNA from 1 species
GGGGUUGUAGCUCAGUGGUAGAGCACUUGCCUAGUAUGUGUGAGGCCCUGGGUUCGAUCUCCAGCACCA